GCCGCCGUAGCUCAGUUAGGUAGAGCAACGGGCUGUUAACCCGUGGGUCGACGGUCCGAGUCCGUCCGGCGGCGCCA
rnacentral:tRNA from 1 species